rnacentral:rRNA from 1 species
UACGGAGGGGGCAAGCGUUAUUCGGAAUCAUUGGGCGUAAAGGGCGCGUAGGCGGCUUGGCAAGUCAAAGGUGAAAUCCCUCGGCCUAACCGAGGAACUGCCUUUGAUACUGCUUGGCUUGAGGCCGGGAGAGGGUAGCGGAAUUCCCAGUGUAGCGGUGAAAUGCGUAGAUAUUGGGAGGAACACCGGUGGCGAAGGCGGCCCCCUGGGCUGGUACUGACGCUGAUGCGCGAAAGCGUGGGUAGCAAACGGG